GACUCAUUCUCCUGCCAAGGGAGACCAGGAGUCACUGGUACUCAGACAAAGGUCACAUCCCUUCUUGAACUCUGAAUCAUAUAUAAUCUCAUCAAUGACUCUGCCAUGACUGCUUUCUUUCACAAUGGGACUGACCAGUGGGUGCCAAAUCCUCUUUUAUGAAAUUUGCUAAAUCAGUCAGUGAGCCAUAAACAAGGUCCGGCUUGAGGGCCCAUAGGCAAUCGCCAGGCCAUUUUGACAAAGAACUUUAAUAAUCCUGUCAUUUAACAUAUGUUUGCCCUUUGUUUUUCUUGUUGCCACGCCUCCAUCUCCCCCAUUAGCCUACGAGGGAGUGAUGUCACAAACAGGGCUCGCGCUCCCAUUGGAUGAAGUGUGCAAGCCUCCCAGACCACCCCUCCUACCUCCUGAUGUCAGGGGCUCCCCUGACCAAUCAGUGAGGAGUCAGCUGGGUGGGUGGGUGCAAAAUUAUAAAAAGUGCAAUUUUUCUGUAAUGGCGUGUCAGUUCUUUCUGCAAUCUAUUGCUGCUGUCAUCCUGCUCCAACUGGACAGAAUAAACACUUUGGUGAUCUCUGCUUCUAACCUGGGCAAAAACUAGAAACAUCUGCAGCCAAGGAAACCCAAGAGGAGAUAAAAGCUAUGUAGCCAAUCAAAAUGUGUUUCACUGGAGCAGAAAGACAAGCAAAGAGACUCUAGAUGUCAAUGUAUCUGCCUCAUUUUCAGGAUGUUUUGUCAUUCAGCAGGACAGCUUCAAGGAAUAUGGAAGACAAGAAAAUGGAAGUGACUGGCUCCCUAUCAUACCUUGCAAAAAAAAAAGCUUCCAUGCCA